CCUACGGGUGGCAGCAGUGGGGAAUAUUGGGCAAUGGGCGCAAGCCUGACCCAGCAACGCCGCGUGAAGGAAGAAGGCUUUCGGGUUGUAAACUACUUUUAAGAGGGAAGAGCAGAAGACGGUACCUCUUGAAUAAGCCACGGCUAACUACGUGCCAGCAGCCGCGGUAAUACGUAGGUGGCAAGCGUUGUCCGGAUUUACUGGGUGUAAAGGGAGCGUAGGCGGGUAAGCAAGUUGAAUGUUUAAGGUACGGGCUCAACCUGUACAAGCGUUCAAAACUGUUUUUCUUGAGUGGAGUAGAGGUAAGCGGAAUUCCUAGUGUAGCGGUGAAAUGCGUAAAUAUUAGGAGGAACACCAGUGGCGAAGGCGGCCUACUGGGCGUUAACUGACGCUGAGGCUCGAAAGCGUGGGUAGCAAACAGGAUUAGAUACCCCUGUAGUC
rnacentral:rRNA from 1 species